GAUAUAGACGACGAUAAAUAGAUUUGUACGAAAAGGAAAGAAGCUAGAAGCGAAGCGUGUAAUAUCGGUAUUUGCCGAGCUGUGAGAAAAUCUAAAUUUUUGAAUGGAUGAAAACAUCUUACAACAUGCACUGGCUGUCCUACUAUGAAAGGAGGAUUGUUAGAGAGGAAUAUGCCAACCAGAACUGCAGUUAGGAGUCAUUGGCAGGAGGAACCUUUGUGACUUGUACGAAGAUGAAGCUUUCAAGCACAGAAUUGCUUUUCCAAAGAGACCACACGCUACCUCAUCAUCAUGCUUGAAGGUGAUCUGAGCCUGAGGAGGGACGAAGGGCCUAGUGAUCGACUACCUUUGUUUCUGCAAGUAUUGACAAUUCUGCGUUUGUAUGCUGAUAAUUUCAGGGAAUACAGGGUGAUGAGGCAUCAGUGUUGCAAUCAUCUGUUUGUUGAGUGAUCAGAUGUUUCGCAAGCCAUAGCCAGAAUAAAGGUUUUGUGAGAACUUGAGAUUGAGGCUACCCAACAACAACUGUUUGAGUACCAGUACAGUACUACAGGAAUUCAAGAGUCAUAGGUGUGUUCGAUGGGACCCAUGUCUACAUAUCCUGGAGGGAAACAAGCUUUGUACUUUCUUGAUGGGCAAGUCCACCCAACAAAAAGUUUAUUUUGAUAUAAUAGAGAAAACUCCAAUGAGCAUAACACUGAAAAUUUUAUCGAAAUUUUAUGUAAAAUGAGAAAGUUCUGACAUCUUGAAGUUUCGCUUAUUUUCACAAAACAGAUAUAUAUGCACAUCCUGGUCAUUAUGCAAAUGAGUGACCAAGUGACGUUCUCCACUCAAUGUUUCUUUUUUUGUAAUAUAUCAUGAAAUAUGAUUUUUUUUUCUCAUAAUGGCUAAUACAGGUGUAUUGUUUGAUUUUUCCCUGAAACUUGUGUAAAAAGACAAUGUGGCAACCUAUACUCAAUUGUGAAUUCUGUAAAAAAUCAAGUAUUAUAAUAUAUUUCAUAUAUUGAUAUACAGAAGAAAGAGUGAGUGUGUGACGUCAUAGACUUGUUUGCAUAUCACCUGUUUUGUGCAUAUAAGUGAUUUUUGCGAGUACCGGUAAUUAAUUUCUUAUUUUACAUCCUAUUUUGACGUUUUCAGUGUCAUGCAUGUUUUAUUUUUCUUUAUCCAUUCACAUUAACUUUUUGUUGUACAGUGGACUUGCUCUAGAACAGGUAUUUUCUGUAAUGUACAAGUAAGAAUUUCAUUAUUCACUUGUGUCUUCUUUUUAACACCUUCUUUACAGAGGGGGGGGGGGGUUGAAUCAACCUCCCUUGAGAUCUCUGCCAAUGAUCGCAUUAACGCCUUGAAAAUUGGUAUGAUAAUAGUGGGGGAUGUCAUGUGCAAUGCUGUUUGGUUAAUUUUUCCGAAAUCGUCAGAUCUUUUAUAUUAAUUAAUUAUGCUAAUUUCUGCAUAAAUCAUACUUUUAUACCAUUGCUAACAAUCAAAAUGAAAAAAAAAUCCUAGAUUGAAAAUGAAUUUCUUAUGUAUUUUAUUGUUUUAUGAAUUUCUUAUGUAUAUCUUUUUUUUCAAGAUUUUGUUUUUUGCCAAAUUUAAAGCAGAACAUUUUUGAAGCAUAAUUAUGCUGAAAUCAAGUAAUUUCAGCUGAUGAAAGUAAAAAUAAUCAUGUCCAUAUGAAGAAGAUGAGAAAACUCAACAUUUACUUUGUACACAAAAUCACAUUUUGGAGCAAUUUUGGGUCUGACAUGCACUUAUGUAAUGUUGAGUAAUUUUCCAACAGCAUGCCCAGGCAUCGUAAAUUUGAUCUCAAUAGAUGUGCAAGACUUCAAAGUAAAAAGUCAGCGAGCAGCACGGUCGUUAAAUUUCGCACAGCGGAAUGGUUGUGGAAUAUGUUGAGGGAGGGGGUUCAUUCACCCCCCCGGGGUUUUAGGGUUAACCCUAAAUCUCCCGGGGUAUUUUGAUUCUUGUCAUUCCCGGGGGGGGGGGCAUUAUGGCCCCCCUUAAGACCUCAGUCGCGGAUUGCGCGAUCAAAACAAAAAUUUGCAUGAUGGUAGAGAAUGACUUAAUCUACGCAGUUGCAUUGGUAAAUUUCACUGAAUUCAUAUAUUUUCAUUUUAUAUUAAUUAAUUAUGCUAAUUUAUUCAUGAAAUCAUACUUUUUGCUCUGAUUCACUAAAUAAAGCUCCUAGAAUGCUAUUUUUUGGUGAAAAUAUUCUUUAUAGCAUUCCUAACAAUUGUGAAUGAAAAGACCGAUUUCUUAUGUAUUUUAUUGUUUUUUAAUUUCUUAUGUAUUUCUUUGUUUUUUACUUUUUCGAUGGAAAUCGUUCCAGACUUAAUUAUGAUCAUAAACAAGGCAAAAUUAAUUAAGUUUAAUCAGUAAAAGUAGAAAUAAUGAUGCAUUUAUGAAUUUUGGCUAAUACACAAUCUGCAUUGGAUUUGUACAUGAAAUCACGUUUAUGAGUAAUUUGGGGUCUGACAUGCACUUACAUAAUGUUGCGUAAUGUCGUAACCGCGUACCCGGGCGUCACAAAUUUGGUCUCAAAAUUUGCGCUAGACUUGAAAGUAAAAAGUCAGUGAG